rnacentral:sRNA from 1 species
GCCGGGCGCAGUGGCUCACGCCUGUAAUCCCAGUACUUUGGAAGGCCAAGGCGGGUGGAUCAUGAAGUCAGGAGAUCAAGACCAUCCUGGCUAACACGGUGAAACCCCGUCUCUACCAAAAAUACAAAAAAAUUAGCCGGGCGUGGUGGCGGGCGCCUGUAGUCCCAGCUACUCGGGAGGCUGAGGCAGGAGAAUGGCGUGAACCUGGGAGGCANAUUUUUGUAUUUUUAGUAGAGAUGGGGUUUCACCAUGUUGGCCAGGAUGGUCUCGAUCUCUUGACCUCAUGAUCCGCCCACCUC